rnacentral:rRNA from 1 species
AAGUGGACGAUUGGAAGUAAAAGUCGUAACAAGGUUUCCGUAGGUGAACCUGCGGAAGGAUCAUUACAACGUAUCCACGUACCAAACUCUCGAACUGUUCCCAAUGAAGAUGAAGUUAAUGGUCGAGCUGCUUUUCGCUGAUGGAGUUCGCCUGGCGAACUGAAAGGCUCUCGAUUGCCAGCUGACCUUCGGGCCUGCCUGGGACUUCAUUCACUUCAUUGUGGUUUUUCCCAUCAGCAUUGUUUUACCAUUAUUAACCCUUUUACAAUUCGAACUGAUCUAUGAAAUCAAGCAGCUGUCCUCGCUGGCUUCGGUCACGGACCGUUGGUUGUUUUCACACAUACGAAACAAAGAACAACUCUUAGCAACGGAUAUCUUGGCUCUCGUAUCGAUGAAGAACGCAGCAAAAUGCGAUACGUAAUGCGAAUUGCAGAAUUCAGUGAAUCAUCAAAUCUUUGAACGCAAAUUGCGCUCUCGGGAUAGGCCUGGGAGCACGCCUCUUUGAGUAUCGUUUCAACCACAACUCGAAAGCGUGCUUAAUUGCACGCUGACGGAAAUUGAGCGCUUCUCGAGCAAUCGAGACGCUUGAAAUUGAGCGAGCGACACGAUUUCUGACGUGAAAUUGACUUUGUCUCAAGUGACGAGGAUAACUUCACAUUCAAUUGUGAACCCUUCCUUCGUGACUCUCGAGGCGGAUUGUUUCAUGCCGGUCAUCUGCAAUGUUGCGGACCCUCUGCAGGCGUCUCUUACGAUGACUGCAGAACUCUAUUUGAACUAGAUCUCAAAUGAAGCGAGAAAACCCGCUGAACUUAAGCAUAUCAAUAAGCGGAGGA